rnacentral:rRNA from 1 species
AGAGUUUGAUCCUGGCUCAGGACCAACGCUGGCGGCGUGCAUAACACAUGCAAGUCGGGGGGGCCCGCAAGGGCAACCGGCGAACGGGUGCGUAACACGUGAGCAACCUGCCAUAGCGUGGGGCAUAGCCGGCCUAACGGCCGGGUAAUUCCGCAUACUAUCUUGAAGGGGCUUUCCUUUAAAAUGAAACGAGUAAUCGGCGCUGUGAGGGGCUCGCGGCCUAUCAGCUAGUUGGUGAGGUAAUGGCUCACCAAGGCAACGACGGGUAGCUGGUCUGAGAGGAUGACCAGCCACAUUGGGACUGAGAUACCGCCCACACUCCUACGGGAGGCAGCAGUGAGGAAUAUUGCGCAAUGGCCUAACGGCUGACGCAGCGACGCCGCGUGAGGGAUGAAUCUUUUCGGAGUGUAAACCUCUGUUGCUCGGGACGAAUAGCAUAUUAUUCUGACUUGACGGUACCGGGUGAGGAAGCACCGGCUAACUCCGUGCCACCAGCCGCGGUAAUACGGGGGGUGCGAGCGUUGUCCGGAAUCACUGGGCGUAAAGGGCGCGUAGGUGGUCUGGUAAGUUUGUGGUGAAAGCCCGGGGCUCAACCCCCGGGUCUGCCAUGGAUACUGCGAGACUAGAGUGCUGUAGGGGCUGGUAAAAUGUCGGGUGUAGCGGUGGAAUGCAUAAAGAUCCGACAGAAGACCGGGUGGCGAGGCGGCCAGCUGGGCAGCAACUGACACUGACGCGCGACAGCGUGGAGCAGCAAACAAGGAUUAGAUACCUCUGGUAGUCCCACGCCGUAAACGA